rnacentral:lncRNA from 1 species
GGGGAAGAAAAAGGAAAAAAAGAAGUGUCAAGAGCAAAUAGCAAAAAUCAGAGGUGAGCUUAAAAACAGAGAACAGUUCCCUAAAAGACAGACCGAAAUGUAAAUUUGGGCAUGGGCUCAGACUAUUCUCGGAAUGAUAUUGUGACAAGUCUGUCCGAAGGCAAGUGGCUGGUUAGGUGUGGGAAAGAGAUAGAGUGAUAGCCCCCGCUUUCGUCAGUUGACUUGGCGGUUUGGGGUAGGCUGAUCAAGGGCUUGCACUGGCGGCGCAUGUCGACCUGUCACAUGUUCCAGUCGAGUCUCCGUGCUCAAUCUGUGUGUAAAAAUUAUGUGUUGGUAGAAAGUUUAAUGACUCAGCUCAGUUGGUAUGCUAUGCUGUCUAUCUUUUAGACUAUGUGUUUGUAGAGCAAUAUUAUGUAUAAAUUAUGUUACAGGGUUAGGAAAAGGUUAAAGAUUUUUGGCGUUAGGGUUUAAAUCACUGUCCAAAACCUUUGUAGGAACUCUUUUCCAACCUUUUGGAGGGAGCUAGACUAAAAAAAAAAAUGAAAAAUGAAAAAAAAGUUUUUGGGGGUGUUAAGGCUUCCUGAAGGUAAUACCCAGGUAUUAGGUUACGGGGCUAGGGUAAGGUUUAAGGUUUUUGGCGUAUGGGUUAAAAUCACUGUCCAAAACCUUUGUAGGAACUCUUUUCCAACCUUUUGGAGUUAGUUGGACCAAAAAAAAACGAAAAAUGAAAAAAAAAAUGUUUGGGGUGUGAAGGCUUCCUUAAGGUAAUACCCGGGUAUUAGGUUUUGGGGCUAGGGUAAGGUUUAAGGUUUUUGGGGUUAGGGUUAAAAUCACUGUCCAAAACCUUUGUGGGAACAAGUUUCAGACCUUUUGGAGUUAGUUACACCAAAAAAAAUGAAAAAUGAAAAAAAAAAAAAUUGGGGGUGUUCGGGCUUCCUGAAGGUAAUACUAUUAUUAGGUUAUGGGGCUAUGGUAAAGUUUAAGGUUUUUGACGUAAGGGUUAAAAUCACUGUCCAAAACUUUUGUAGGAAAUCUUUUCCAAACUCUUGGAGUUAGUUCGACCAAAAAAAAGCAAAAUAAAAAAAAAUAUUUGGGGUGUUCGGGUUUCCUGAAGGUAAUAUUGGGUUUUGGGGCUAGGGUAAGGUUAAAGGUUUUUGGCAUUAGGGUUAAAAUCACUGUCCAAAACCUUUGUAGGAACUCUUUUCCAACCUUUUGGAGUUAGUUAGACCAAAAAAAAAAAACGAAAAAUGAAAAAAAAAUAUUUGGGGUGUUCAGGCUUCCUGAAGGUAAUACCCGGGUAUUAGGUUUUGGGGCUAGGGUAAGGUUUAAGGUUUUUGGGGUUAGGGUUAAAAUCACUGUCCAAAACCUUUGUGGGAACAAGUUUCAGACCUUUUGGAGUUAGUUACACCAAAAAAAAUGAAAAAUGAAAAAAAAAAAAAAUUGGGGGUGUUCGGGCUUCCUGAAGGUAAUACUAUUAUUAGGUUAUGGGGCUAUGGUAAAGUUUAAGGUUUUUGACGUAAGGGUUAAAAUCACUGUCCAAAACUUUUGUAGGAAAUCUUUUCCAAACUCUUGGAGUUAGUUCGACCAAAAAAAAGCAAAAUAAAAAAAAAUAUUUGGGGUGUUCGGGUUUCCUGAAGGUAAUAUUGGGUUUUGGGGCUAGGGUAAGGUUAAAGGUUUUUGGCAUUAGGGUUAAAAUCACUGUCCAAAACCUUUGUAGGAACUCUUUUCCAACCUUUUGAAGUUAGUUACACAAAAAAAAAAAGAAAAAUGAAAAAAAAAUAUUUUGGGUGUUCGGGCUUCCUGAAGGUAAUACCCGAGUAUAAGGUUCUGGGGCUAGGGUAAGGUUAAAGGUUUUUGGCAUUAGGGUUAAAAUCACUGUCCAAAACCUUUGUAGGAACUCUU